ensembl:snoRNA U3 Small nucleolar RNA U3
AAGACUGUACUUUUAGGGAUCAUUUCUUUAGUUCAUUACUAGAUAAGUUUCUCUGAAUAUGUAGAGCGCUGAAUUAUAAU